UUUUAACGGCCGCAGUUAGGAGCUGUGCUAAGGUAGCGUAAUAAAUUGUCCUUUAAAUGAGGAAAUGAAUGAAUGGUUUGACGUAAAAAAUUCUGUCUCCAAAGAAAUUUAGGAAAUUUUUUUCUUAGUGAAAAAUCUAAGAUUUUAUUAAAAGACGAGAAGACCCUUUUGAGCUUGAAUUAUUAAUAUAGUUUAAUAUUAAAAAAGUUUGGUUGGGACAACCUGGGAGUAUAAAUAGCCUCCUUUGAGUAAUAAAAAUCCAAAAAUUUUGAAAAAAGAAAAAGUUACCGCAGGGAUAACAGCGUUAUCUUCUCUGAGAGAACAAAUUGAAGAGAAG
rnacentral:rRNA from 1 species